rnacentral:ncRNA from 1 species
AGAACUGAUAAUCCGAGAGGUGGAAUGACGGAGUAACGCCCUGAAACGCCUCCCCUGAUACUCCGACUGGCAUUAUUGGGAAACUGAUUUUGUCAGAAGCUCGGUGAAGUCGGCUGAGAGAUACCGUAAUCUGCAUAGUCAGAUACGAAAGCUGUUCAGAGGUGAAUGGUGUAUCCUAUAGGUCGGGGGGCUAUAAA